rnacentral:rRNA from 1 species
AUUGAACGCUGGCGGCAUGCUUUACACAUGCAAGUCGAACGGUAACAGGCCGCAAGGUGCUGACGAGUGGCGAGCGGGUGAGUAAUGCAUCGGAACGUGCCCAGUCGUGGGGGAUAACUAUCCGAAAGGAUAGCUAAUACCGCAUACGACCUGCGGAUGAAAGCGGGGGACCUUCGGGCCUCGCCCGAUUGGAGCGGCCGAUGUCAGAUUAGGUAGUUGGUGGGGUAAAGGCUCACCAAGCCAACGAUCUGUAGCUGGUCUGAGAGGACGACCAGCCACACUGGGACUGAGACACGGCCCAGACUCCUACGGGAGGCAGCAGUGGGGAAUUUUGGACAAUGGGCGCAAGCCUGAUCCAGCAAUGCCGCGUGCAGGAAGAAGGCCUUCGGGUUGUAAACUGCUUUUGUACGGUACGAAACGGCUCUGGUUAAUACCUGGGGCUAAUGACGGUACCGUAAGAAUAAGCACCGGCUAACUACGUGCCAGCCGCCGCCGUAA